UACAGAGGUGUCAAACGUUGUCCGGAAUUAUUGGGCGUAAAGAGCGCGUAGGCGGCCAGACAAGUCCGGUGUGAAAGUCACAGGCUCAACCUGUGAAUGCCGCUGGAAACUGUCUGGCUAGAGUCCGGAAGGGGCGAGUGGAAUUCCUGGUGUAGCGGUGAAAUGCGCAGAUAUCGGGAGGAACACCAAUGGCGAAGGCAGCUCGCUGGGACGUUACUGACGCUGAGACGCGAAAGCGUGGGGAGCGAACAGG
rnacentral:rRNA from 1 species